GGUUUGGGAUUUUCCCUAUCAAUGAAAACUUGAGCAGUAGAAUAGGUUGAGCAGAGGGGAGGACUGGAAUGAAUAUCCCAAAAAGCCUGUAAGGGAUGUGCAAUUCUUAGUAACCUGUUUUCAAUGAUGACAAAGCAACUUUAAAGGAAAUUGUCACCAGAUCUCAGAAAGGGGUCCAAAGGCUCUCCUCAGCUAGCUUGAGCUUUGGGUUAACUGGUAAGAGGAUCUGGUGGAACCGGGUGUGGGCACUGACAGGAGAAGAGAGGAGUGAGUGGGUAGAGGGAUAAUUUUAGUACCUUCUACCCCAACAAGGGAGCAACGGUUUGAGGAAGAGCAGUGGUUUGGGUUUUAAAUCUAGUAAUUCGAGGGGAGAAAGCAGGUUAUUGAGGUUGGAGAGAUGGUGGAGGGGCUGGGGCAGAAGGUUGAGGGUGAAAACCUAUUUGAGCCAUGUGAUAGGAUGGAGGUUCAUCAGCAGGGUCAAAAGUAGUGGAUGAGUCUGGAGGAGGAGAAAAUUGGGUAUCCAUUGUUGUGGGAGUUGGUUUGCAAGCUACAAAAACUUGUAGAGGUUUGCAAGAGGUGCAGAGAGCAGAAUUGGAUCGGUGCAGGAAAAAAACUUGGACAUAGGGGCUCUUUACCCAUUUUUUGGAAUGCUCACAAUAAUUGUAAUGAUCCCUUAGAAUGGAGAGAUCCAGAAACCCAAAAGGGGGUCAUUUACUUUGUCUAGGGGAUAAGUGGGCUAAUUUUGGGUGCUAUAUUUGAUCAAUUUUUUGGGGUUUGAUUUCUGGUAUCAAGUAGAGGUUUUCCAAGAAGCAUUUUAAGUGAGAGUCAACUGGUAGAGAGGACACAUUACCCAUUUCUCAAACAUAGUAUAAUGGAGAGGGAAGGAGAUGCAAACAUAGUAUAAGGUAGAAGGAUGGAGAUGCAAAGUUAGUGUAAGGAAGAGGGAGGAAACUGAUUUAUUGACAAAAGGAUCAUCCCUGAUAGAGCCAAAAAUUAGAGGAGUGCCUAGUGGCAGAUUGGAGUUGCAGAGAUUGUUUGUCACCGAAUCCUGACAAUAGAGGCUCCUGUCCUUGACAGGGCCACAAAGAGAGGAAGAGAAAGACCAAGAGAAGAAAGAGAGAUCAUGUGAGAGUGAACACAAGAGAGGAAUACAGAGAGAGAAAGAGAAGGGGGCCCAGCAGGAGGAGGUUUUUAUAGCCAAAUUCUAAUGGGGUCUCUGGGUCUACAAGCUGCCUUGUUGGUGGGACAAUGAUUGGAUCACACAGUAGUUGCUAAGGGUGACAUCUUCUGCCCUCAGGCAGAUAGGGCAGGGGUCAGAUUGGGGUUUCUGUUGCACCAGACAGGUGGGGGUCAAGUGAUCAACCUUGAUUGGGAUUGAGUAUUCAGACUUUAUGCAAACAGGUGAUAAAGAACCAGACAGAGGGGGAUUUGAGUGUGUGGGUUAUCCUGCAGUUAACUUUUGUCAGAUGUCAUGCAGACAACUUAGAUCAGCCUGUCCUGCUCUCCUGCACCUAACAAGGGGGAAAAAUAUACCGCCACAG
rnacentral:lncRNA from 1 species